UGGGGUUCGAAACUAGCAUUUCAGGCACUGUGCCCCACACUCGGCUUCAUGGCUCACCAGCCUGCCAGGUGGACACGCCCAGUCUCGCUCUUCCUGUCUCCACCCACUGUGUGUGUGCACCUGCCAUGUGCCAGGGGGCACGGAGGGGCACAAGUUGUGUUUCCAUCGCCUAGAUUUCCCCAGCUCAUGGUGGAGAUGGACACAUCCAAAACUCUGAUCUGAGAUGAGUCUCCUUGGUAUCUGAAGGAUGUCCUUCCUCUCUGGGUCUAGAACUCUGGAGUGACAGCUCUUUUCUUCCAGCACCGUAAACACGUUGCUCCCUUGUCUUCUGGAGCCCAUCAUUUCUGCUGAAAAAUAAUCUUAUUGUCCCCUUGAAGCAGGAGUUGGGAAAUCCCCUGAAUGAAAAGCGAGCAACAGCGUUGGCUCAUCUCUCCGCGGUUCCCCUUUUGCUGAGAUCUCAGCCCUUUGAGUCCCGAUUGGCUCAGCUGCUCACCAGUGUCUUCAAAAAGAGCAUUCGUAUUUUACCCAGCUUGUCUACGUAGUGAUCUAUGCUGGCUACUUCAUAACAGCCAGAAGCAAUAGUCAUUAAGUGGUAUUUUAAUUAACUAUAUUGGCAUUUUAUAUAUAUAUAUAUACACACACACACACACACACACACAUACGCACACUAUGUUCAGCACUACAGAGUCCAAAUACAAGACACUUUUACCAAGUAUUUUAUUUGUAAAGGCAUCCCAAAGGUAAGAUGUCAACACGCAAGAUUGGAGUGUGGAGGUGACGCUCAUCCAACUUCUUUAUUUCUUUUUUUUUUUUUUUUUGAGACAGACUCUUGCUCUGUCACCCAGGCUGGAGUGCAGUGGCAUGAUCUUGGCUCACUGCAACCUCCGCCUCCCGAGUUCCAGUGAUUCUCCUGCCUCAGCUUCCUGAGUAGCUGGGAUAACAGGCACACGCCGCCACCAUGCCUGGAUUUUUUUUUGUAUUUUUAGUAGAGAUGGGUUUUCGCCAUGUUGGCCAGGCUGGUCUCAAACUCCUGGCCUCAAGUGAUCUGCCCGCCUCAGCCUCCCAAAGUGCUAGGAUUACAGGCAUGAGCCACCGCGCCCAGCCUAUAUUUCUGAUUAUAAAAAAAUUGCAGCAAUGGUCGCCAUGGUCCACGCAUCAGCCAGCGCCUGCUGGGCUUUACACAGCUCUCCUGUCUCCCUCACAGCAAGUCCAGGGGGAGGGUCUAGGAGGCCCCGUUGGGAAGUGACACUCGGGAUUUGAGCUCUGGCAUGCCUGAAUCCCUGAGCCGCUGCGUCCUCCUGGCUCCCUGCAGGAAGAUUUCUCCCAUGCUGUUUAUUUUCAGGAUGGUCCCUGAAACGUAAGGGACCCGACAGCCACCACGGCGAGGAAGGCGCAGAAGGGGCAGCACGGAGCCGUGAGCCACAGAGAUGCUGCAGCCUGGACCAGCCAUCAUCAGACAGGCGUGUGCCGUCAGCGCUCAACGUGUGAGAAAGCACAGAGCCAGGCCCUUCCCAAGACCCCACUAUGAACCCGAUUGCUUCGGCCUGGCUGCCUUCCUCCAAAGGGGUGCAGGCGGGGCCCACGGGACCCCAGUUCUCUAGUCUCGCCUGACUCUAGGCAGAACUCUAGUGGCUCUGAUCUCUGGGCAGAACUGACUCAAGAGCCACUGAAGAGACCUUCGCCUGGGGUCCUAGACUGGGCUGCAAGGAGUCUUUGAAUCUCUUGAGAUUGUGCACUAAGUAUUUACCUGCACGCAUUUUUCCAGGAAGAGGGCCUGCGGCUUGCAUCAUAUCCCCACCGUGGUCUGUGACCAAGAAAGUAGUCAGCAUCUUUAGGCUAGAGGAGGCGGGAGCCCCGGAUUCCAAUCGCAGUUCUCCCUGGCUGUGUGAGCUUGAUUUGUCCUUUCUCUCUCUGAGCCCUGAUUCUGCCUCUUUUCUGCAAGGACCUUGAUCGCUGGGGGCGGCAGGGCUCUGUCUGCUGAACCCCAGAUCCCUCUGCACUUUCCCUGCUCUGCUCAGUAGCGUGGGGCACUGGCCCAGCAAAGUUCAUUUCCAGGUUCUUGUUGUGUUCUGACCCUGAGAGGCUCUGGCCGGGACUGGGAGGGUGGGAGGGUGGGAGGCCCAGGUAUCUGCCCACAUCUCUGCUUCAGGCACCAGCUCUGGCAGGGGCGGCCUCUGUAGUUCACUUCCUACAGGUGGCCCCUUCUUCCACGGGGCCCCCAAGGGGUGCGAAUCUCACCCUCCAUACACCUCUUUUUGGACCCUCUGUGUAUUAAACUCCCUAAGGAGCCACCUGACGUGAGCUCUGGAGCCUGAGCCGUGGCUGAUAACCAGGUGAUUGCCAAGUGCCUUGAACACCAAUAUUCCCACCCAGGGUUGCCCAGUGACUUCACAGCAGGGCAGCGUUCCCCCGUGCUUGCCCUGGAACCCCUUUUUGGUUGACAAAUUGUAUGUUUUCAGAAUGGUUUGAGAUUUACAGCAAAACAGAGAAGACAGCCCAGAAAGCACUCAUAUCCCCUCGCCCUGCCACCCCUCAUCCUCAUCCGCAUUGGCGUGGGCCUGUCACAGCCAUCCACCUGCUCGUGACCAAAAUCCACUUUAGCCAGAUUUCCUUCAUUACCUAGUGUCCCUUUUCUGUCCAGGACCCCAUCCCGGACACCAUAUGAUAUCUCCUCCCCUUGGGCUCCUCCUGGCUGUGACGGUUUCCCAGACUUUCCUCGUCUUGGUUUUUAUUUUUUUUGAGACAGAGUCUCGCUCUGUCACCCAGGAUGGAGUGCAGUGGCACAAUCUCGGCUCACUGCAAGCUCCGCCUCCCGGGUUAACGCCAUUCUCCUGCCUCAGCCUCCUGAGUAGCUGGGACUACAGGCACCCGCCACCACGCCCAGCUAAUUUUUUGUAUUUUUAGUAGAGACAGGGUUUCAUUGUGUUAGCCAGGAUGGUCUCCAUCUCCUGACCUCGUGAUCCGCCCACCUCAGCCUCCUAAAGUGCUGUGGAUUACAGGCAUGAGCCACAGCGCCCUGCCUCUUUUUUUUUUUUUUCUGAGCUGAAGUCUUGCUCUGUCACUCAGGCCAGAGUGAAGUAGCAUGAUCUCGGCUCCCUGCAACCUCUGCCUCCUGUGUUCAAGCAAUUCUCAUGCCUCAGCCCCUAAGUGUCUGGGACUACAGGCCCAUGCCACCCACCACGCCCAGGUAAUUUUUUUUUUUUUUUGUAUUUUUAGUAGAGACAAGGUUUCACUGUGUUGGCCAAGCUGGUCUCAAACUCCUGACCUCAGGUGAUCGCCUUGGCCUCCCGAUUUCCUUGUCUUCAAUGCUGGGCAGUUUUGAGCAGCGCUGCUCAGGUGUUUGUAGGGCAUUCCUGGGCGAGAUCCGUCUGCUGCAUGCCUCACAGUUGGGCUGGGUGAUGGGUGGUUAAGUUUGGGAGGAAGAGCAUGGGGGCAACGCACCCUCUCCCCACACACAUCAGGGACACACCAUCAGCGGGGCACGCCACGGUUGGUGCUGGCCUUGAGUGAAGGGCUGAGGUGCACCCGUCUCUCCAUGGUAAAGCCACUUCCUCCUUCCCACCCUGUCUCCUCGGGAAGCCUGGACCCCCUGUUGCGGAGCCCCUUCUGGACCAGUGCGCCUGGGAAAUGCUGAGCCAGUUCCAGCCUAGCACACAGUAGGUGCCUAAUUGAGCCUCCCCGAACUGGAUGGAGCAUGGGAAAUCAACCCACGGCUGUGGCCUCAUUAGGAAGGAAGUUUUCCCUCCACUCAACUCCCUCUUGGCUUGUGGUCUAAUUAAGCUCUGCUGCUCCCUCGGGCCUGGGCCGGUUUGCACGGCUCACUCCCGACUUGAGGGGUUCCCGCCAGGCCCUGCUGGCUCCAGCUUCUGCCCACCCAGAAGGAGUGUGCCGGGGAGCUGAGGCCCCCACAAGGGCUCCCAGCCAGAAAGGCAUCUGGAUCCCCCACCAGCGCCCUUUCUAACCACCACAUAAGCAUCAAAAGCACACGGCACAGACAAGCCCACAAACAGAAGAGCAGAGGGUCCGGCUCUCCCCGCCUCCUCCCCCGGCCACACCCGGCAUUUCUAGGAGACUUUUCCCCAAGGCUCUGAGCCCU
rnacentral:lncRNA from 1 species